AAGGGAGUGUAUCGUUUCAGCACCUACCGGAUGCCAAAUAAAAGUAACGCUGACACCCAACCAACGAUAAAUUCCGCAGACACUUUGCAGUUUGUAAAGUCAGGGUUUUGGGCAUGAAAAAUGACGACAGCAAAAGCUUUAACGAAUGUUGUCUGCUGACUGCGAUUAGUUCCGAGGCACGCCUGUGCAUUUGAAUGUGUUUGAACGCCCUGUGUAUAUAUAGCAUGCACAUAAGGCCAGAGUUACAUACAUAUGUGCGGCCCGACAAGAUAAGUCCAUCUGUCUCGUCUGGGCCUCACCUAAUUCAGUUUGGACUUUAUUUAAUUUCCCGGCGAAAAUACAUAUAGUCCAUCUAGGCAACUCCAGCCAUCAUCCACGGGGCAUUAUUGAACAUUUACAUAAACACGAGUUCACGGAAAGCCUUUAAAUGGAAUCUAAAAUAUUUUCAGGGCCAUUCAUGUUAAUGGCAAAGUUAUUAAUGAAUUUUUAAUAUCAUUUUCAUUGGGUCUGCUCUGGACACACAAAUUUGAUUAAAUUUUGUGGCAGCUCCUUAAUUACAGGUUUUCCUGGAAGUUUUGAUAAGUCAGGCUAAUUACAAGUAAAUGUAGGCAAG